rfam:Polynucleobacter necessarius subsp. asymbioticus QLW-P1DMWA-1, complete genome.
ACCUUCAAGGAGCGUUGCAAGGAUUGCUGAGACCCAGCACUUCCCCAGGCUUGAAGGGAGUGGGCUCCUAAACGGAGUUUGCUAAUUGCAACCGCGCUCGCUAACC